UACGAAGGGGGCGAGCGUUGUUCGGAUUUACUGGGCGUAAAGGGCGCGCAGGCGGCUUAUUUUGUCAGGCGUGAAAGCCCCGGGCUUAACCUGGGAACUGCGUUUGAUACGGAUGGGCUAGAGUUCGGGAGAGGAGAGUGGAAUUCCCAGUGUAGAGGUGAAAUUCGUAGAUAUUGGGAAGAACACCGGUGGCGAAGGCGGCUCUCUGGACCGUAACUGACGCUGAGGCGCGAAAGCGUGGGGAGCAAACAGG
rnacentral:rRNA from 1 species